rnacentral:rRNA from 1 species
CUUAAGCAUAUCAAUAAGCGGAGGAAAAGAAACCAACAGGGAUUGCCUCAGUAACGGCGAGUGAAGCGGCAAAAGCUCAAAUUUGAAAUCUGGCUCUUUCAGGGUCCGAGUUGUAAUUUGUAGAAGAUGCUUUGGGUGUGGCUCUGGUUUAAGUUCUUUGGAAUAUUACAUCAUAGAGGGUGAGAAUCCCGUAUGUGACCAGUCGCCGCCCCCGUGUAAAGCUCUUUCAACGAGUCGAGUUGUUUGGGAAUGCAGCUCAAAAUGGGAGGUAUAUUUCUUCUAAAGCUAAAUAUUGGCCAGAGACCGAUAGCGCACAAGUAGAGUGAUCGAAAGAUGAAAAGCACUUUGGAAAGAGAGUUAAACAGUACGUGAAAUUGUUGAAAGGGAAGCGCUUGCAACCAGACUUGCACGCAGUUGAUCAUCCGGUGUUCUCACCGGGGCACUCUGCUGCGUUCAGGCCAGCAUCGGUUUUGGUGGUUGGAUAAAGGCCUUGGGAAUGUAGCUUCUUUCGGGGAGUGUUAUAGCCCUCGGUGCAAUGCAGCCUACCGGGACCGAGGACCGCGCUUCGGCUAGGAUGCUGGCGUAAUGGUUGUAAGCGGCCCGUCUUGAAACACGGACCAAGGAGUCUAACAUCUAUGCGAGUGUUUGGGUGUCAAACCCAUACGCGUAAUGAAAGUGAACGGAGGUGAGAACCCUUAAGGGUGCAUCAUCGACCGGUCCUGAUGUCUUCGGAUGGAUCUGAGUAAGAGCAUAGCUGUUGGGACCCGAAAGAUGGUGAACUAUGCGUGAAUAGGGUGAAGCCAGAGGAAACUCUGGUGGAGGCUCGCAGCGGUUCUGACGUGCAAAUCGAUCGUCAAAUUUGCGCAUAGGGGCGAAAGACUAUCGA